rnacentral:lncRNA from 1 species
ACAGAACUAGCCUUAAAUCCAGGUCUUCUGAUGUUAUAUCUCUUGAAAUAGUCAAUUGUUUCAUUCAUGUCUUACUCUUCAUGACCCUAUUUGGGGUUUUCCUGGUAAAGGUACUGAAGUGAAGUGGUUUACCCUUUUCUUUUUCCAGCUCAUUUUACAAAUGGGGAAACUGAGGCAGGCAAACAUCUAGUAAAUGUCUGAAACCAGUUUUAAACUUUGGGAAGAUAAGUUUUCCUGACUCUAGGCCCAUCUUACUGCCCCAUGUUUCUCUGUUACAUACAAAAAAUACUCUUAAGGGCACCUCCAGUUUUUCUAGAAUCUUGUAGCACAGAAGUUAGAUUUAUGUAUGUAACUUUAACUCUUUUAUUAUACUUCCUGGGAUCUGAUCUUUUUGUAUUUUGAAACCAAAAUCUUUCUUUCUUUUUUUCUGUAUGGGAUUAUAGAUUAAGAGCUAGAAUUUAAAUCUUAAAAUCAUCUAGUCCAACUGCCUUAGUCAAUAGGUGUGGCUACUGACAUCAAAAAGAGGUGUAUGACUCAUACCUAAGGUCAUAGAGGUAGUGAGUGACAGAGCUGAGAGUUGAACCCAUAUCCUUUGACUCCAAAUAUAUAACCUUUACUAUUUGUAGCACCUUACCUAUCCAGGGUUUCUAAGGUUUACCUUUAUUAGUGACAAGAAUAUGAGAACUGUUUUUAUUAAAAGUGAUCAAUCUUCCCCUUCAGAGAAUAUAUCACUGGUUUUACUCUGCUUUGAUAUUUUUGUCUUACAAUAUUGUUUACUAUAGCAAUUUAUGAAUAAGUCAUUCCCCAGGGAAGGAAGAAAAGAAAGGAAGACAAAGAAAAAGAAAGAAAGAAAGAAAAAAAAGAAAGAAAGAAAGAAAGAAAGAAAGAAAGAAAGAAAGAAAGAAAGAAAGAAAGAAAGAAAGAAAGAAAGAAAGAAAGAAAGAAAGAAAGAGAAAGAAAGGAAGAAAGAAAGGAAGGAAGAAAGAAAGGAAGGAAGAAAGAAAGGAAGGAAGAAAGGAAGAAAGGAAGAAAGGAAGAAAGAAAGAAAGAAAGAAAGAAAGAAAGAAAGAAAGAAAGAAAGAAAGAAAGAAAGAAAGAAAGAAAGAAAGAAAGAAAGAAAGGAAGAAAGAAAGAAAUGUAGGAAGGAAGGAAGGAAGGAAGGAAGGAAGGAAGGAAGGAAGGAAGGAAGAAAGAGAAAGAAAAUAAGGGAGGGAGGGAGGAAGGAAAUAAAAAAGGAAAAAAGACAUUGCUCUUACAGAGCUUAUAAUUUAAUGGAAGAGACAAUCAACAAACAACUAUAUACAAACAAUAUAUAUGCAGGAUAAAUUGAAGAUAAUCAGCAGAAGGAAGGACUAGUGAAUCAACUGAUGGAAGAUUUUUAAAAUAAUAUUUAUAAUUUUAAAUAACUUUACUACAAUUAUCUUCUAUCUAUACUAAUAU